UGUAACCGUUGUUUGGGUUCUCAAUUGAUAAACCCAGAAGAGACUUCUCAAUCAAUCUUGUGACCGUUGUUUGGGUUCUCGUCUUCCUUCUCUAAAAGUCGGAGAGAAAGAGAGAGCCAUCUCCGAUCAGGGCUCCGUCAUCGAAAUUGUCACCGCGAUCAGGUUUUGAUAGGAUUGUCUUGUUUUGUCUCCAACGGGACUUUGAUGGCACAUCCCACGAAGACACGCAUAGUAGUAGUCUCGUCUCUUCUAUGGUUUCUCACGGGUCAAAAUUUAAGGGGAGCACUACGUCUCAGGUUCCUUUGCUACAUACAUGUUAAAUGAUUUUGAAAAUUUUUGAUGUAUAACUUCCUUGCAAGGGAGCGAUCCCUGUGAUGCUGUGCAUAUUUGAUAAGAUCCUAUCUCUGCUAUGGCACGUGUAUAAGGCUCUGUUGAAUCUUAUCUUCUCCUCUCUCAUCAUUUGUUCUGGUAUGUUUCUUCUUCUUCUUUUUUCCCCUAAUGACUUUAUGAGAUUUGCUAUUGUUGGCGAGGUAUGAUUUGUUCUCAUGUGUCCAGCUUCAUGAAUUGGGUUUACAGCGAAUCACGAAGUUUACUUGUCGUUAUGUUUCAGGUUUUGGAUGAUGCUUUGAUGGACACGCUUCUUCUUUGUGCAAGGGUUUUUAGGGUUUUUUUGGAAGCAAACUAAUUUUCGUGUAUUCAUUUCUCCAUGCUACGUCUUCAUGCCAAAAUGCAUCUUUAUUUGCUUCUGAAUUUUUACUUUGUUUCAGUGGUCUUUUUCUAAUUACAUGUUAUUUACUUGUCGUUUUUGUCUUGGUUUUCCUGUGAUUUACUUGUCACUCUGUUAUUUCAGGUUUUGGAUGAUGCUUUUAUCGAUCAGUGAUGGCUUUGAUGGAGAUACUUCCUCUCUGUAAAAUGUCUUCAAGGGUGUUUUGGAAGCAAAUUGUAAUCUGAUCCACGGGUAUUCUUCUCCAUGCUUCGUUUUCAGGCCUACUGAGUUUCUGAGAGUUACUAUUGUUGGUGAGGUAUGAUUUGUUCUCCUGUGUUUUAUUAUGUUUUCCAUAUUCUCUUUCUUUGUAUACACGGUAGAGCUUCAUGAAUAGGGUUUACAGCGAAUCAAGAGGACGGUAAGGAUCUCAUAUUGUCAACAUUCAUAUAUUUUUAAGUCUCUUAGGUGGUAUGCUUAAGUUUGAGCUCCUCGGAUGCACGAGGUUAGACUUGUGGUUUAGUAGUCAGAUGGUGGAACUGAUAUGAUAAAUCCUUCUUCAGGUGUUUUGGAAGCAUGUUGUUAUCUGAUCUACGUGUAUUCUUCUUUAUGCUUCGUUUUCAGGCCUACUGAGUUUAUGAGAUUUGCAAUUCUUGGUGAGUAUGAUUUGGUUUCAUGUGUCUUAUUCUGUUUUCCAGAUUCUCUUUCUAUGAAUAUAGUUUACAGCGAAUCAGGAGGACGGUAAGGAUCUCAGAUUUUCAACAUUCAUAUAUAUUUAAGUCUCUUAGGUGGUAUGCUUAAGUUUGAGCUCCUCUUAUGCACAAUGUUGGACUUGUGGUUUAUUCAGGUAAUGUCGCUCAUCUACAUAGUGACGCUGGCAUUAAAGUUUUCAGUCUAAGACCCUACCGUUUGCUACUAUAUAUAGUCGGUGAUGGCUUUGAUUAAUCGUUGUCAAGCGUUUUCUCCUUUUGAUCGUCGUCGAGUAAGAGGCACUGGGAUUGCUCCGUUGAAACUUAUCUUCUCCUCUAUCACCAUCUGUUCUGGUAUUUUUCUUCUUCGUCUUUUUUUCCCCUAAUGACUUUAUGAGAUUUGCUAUUGUUGGCGAGGUAUGAUUUGUUCUCAUGUGUCCAGCUUCAUGCAUUGGGUUUUCAGCGAAUCAAGAAGACGGUAAGGAUCUCAUCACUGGAUGAUGCUUUUAUUUACUUGUCGUUCUGUUGUUUCAGGUUUUGGAUGAUGCUUUUACCGAUCAGUGAUGGCUUUGAUGGACACGCUUUUUCUCUGUGCCAAGGAUUUUCAAGGAUCGUCACAUCGAGUUAAGACACUGGGACUAUCAUUUGUUUAGAUCGUCACAUCGAGUUAAGACACUGGGAUUGCUUUGUUGAUUCUUAUCAUCUCGUCUAUCAUUUGUUUAGGUUUCAAGUAAUGUUCCUCAUCUUCCUUGUGACAAGGGUAACUAGGCUUUUAGCCUAAGACCGUGUCUUUUGUUAUAAGAUAUUUGAGGUUCUCUAAGAAGAAAAGCAUCAGGUUUUGGAUGAUGUUUUUAUCGAUAGUGAUGGCUUUGAUGGAGAUACUUCUUCUCUGUAAAAUGUCUUCAGGGGUUAUUUGGAAGCAAAUUGUAAUCUGAUCCACGGGUAUUCUUCUUCAUGCUUCGUUUUCAGGCCUACUGCGUUUCUGAGAUUUGCUAUUGUUGGUGAGCAAAUCAAGAGGACGGUAAGGAUCUCAGAUUGUCAACAUUCAUAUAUUUUUAAGUCUCUUAGGUGGUAUGCUUAGGUUUGAGCUUCUCUGAUGCACAAGGUUGGACUUGUGGUUUAUUCAGGUAAUGUUGCUCAUCUACAUAGUGACGCUGGCAUUAACGUUUUCAGUCUAAGACCCUACCGUUUGCUACUAUAUAUAGUCGGUGAUGGCUUUGAUUAAUCGUUGUCAAGCGUUUUCUCCUUUUGGUUGUUCCUUUUUCCCCAAUUCUUAUUCCUAUAUCAUCGUCGAGUAAGAGGCACUGGGAUUGCUCCGUUGAAUCUUAUCUUCUCCUCCCUCAUCAUCUGUUCUGGUUUUGGAUGAUGCUUUGAUGGACACGCUUCUUCUUUGUGCAAGGGUUUUUAGGGUUUUUUUGGAAGCAAACUAAUUUUCGUGUAUUCAUUUCUCCAUGCUACGUCUUCAUGCCAAAAUGCAUCUUUAUUUGCUUCUGAAUUUUUACUUUGUUUCAGUGGUCUUUUUCUAAUUACAUGUUAUUUACUUGUCGUUUUUGUCUUGGUUUUCCUGUGAUUUACUUGUCACUCUGUUAUUUCAGGUUUUGGAUGAUGCUUUUAUCGAUCAGUGAUGGCUUUGAUGGAGAUACUUCCUCUCUGUAAAAUGUCUUCAAGGGUGUUUUGGAAGCAAAUUGUAAUCUGAUCCACGGGUAUUCUUCUCCAUGCUUCGUUUUCAGGCCUACUGAGUUUCUGAGAGUUACUAUUGUUGGUGAGGUAUGAUUUGUUCUCCUGUGUUUUAUUAUGUUUUCCAUAUUCUCUUUCUUUGUAUACACGGUAGAGCUUCAUGAAUAGGGUUUACAGCGAAUCAAGAGGACGGUAAGGAUCUCAUAUUGUCAACAUUCAUAUAUUUUUAAGUCUCUUAGGUGGUAUGCUUAAGUUUGAGCUCCUCGGAUGCACGAGGUUAGACUUGUGGUUUAGUCAGAUGGUGGAACUGAUAUGAUAAAUCUUUCUUCAGGUGGCAGCGAGACAUUCUGUGUUAUGCAGGCUCUUUAAGAUCUUAUCUAAAUCGAUAUGGCCAUGGUGUUUUGCGUAAAACGGUUCGAAGAUAUAUGCGCCAAAGAGAGUUUGCCUUCAAGCAUCUACCUGAUGAUUCUCUUCUUCAGCUGGUAAUAUUUUGGUCAUGCAACGUUUUUCAAUGUUUCAGACUUCAAAAUGGGUGGAUGAGGCUGAAAAGCUAGUUAAAACGCUGUUUGAAGUUGCAAAUUCCAGGCAACCUUCUGUGAUAUAUAUGGAUUUAGUAUGUACUUUUUAAACUCCCGUGUCAGUUGACAUAUAUUCUGUUUUUCCCCCUAAUGACUUUAUGAGAUUUGCUAUUGUUGGCGAGUUCAUAAAUUGGGUUUAGACAUGAGGUUUUGGACGUGCUUUUAUCGAUCAGUGAUGGCUUUGAUAGACACACAUUCCGAUGAGAGAUGCUCCACAAAUUUUUUUGCUUGACGAGUUCCUGCUGAUUUACUUCUCUCUGUAAAAUGUCUUCAGGGGUUUUGUUCUUUCUUCCUCUUCACACGUCUUUUACUUUUCUUUUUUUUUGUUCCUUACAACAUUUCUUUCUUCGUCUUGUAGGUGUUUUGGAAGAAAACAGUAAUCUGAGCCACGGGUUCUUUUUCUAUGUAUACACGGUAGAGCAUCAUGAAUUUGGUUUUUACAGCGAAUCAGUAGAACGGUUUUGGAUGAUGCUUUUAUCGAUCAGUGAUGGCUUUGAUGG